rnacentral:lncRNA from 1 species
GAGAAUAUAUUAACCCAGUAAAGUGCAAGAUCUGCGCAAUGUUAUGUAGGCCGUCAUCAGGAAUGGAAGGGCAGAGUGACCUGCGACUAGAUAUAACGGAAAUCAGCAUGUAGAAGGUAGGAAAACUAUACUUUUGUAUACUUAUAUUUUUGAUAAGCUUCAUAAAAGUUAAAUGUUCAUCAAAAUUCUUUAAAAAAAAAUGAAAUUAAAAGGAUGGGGCCCCAAAAGUAUACAGGUAAACCUUUUUAUCAGUGCACUCCCAGUACCGAUUGAAACAGAUUGGGGGAACGAAAUUGAGGACAGCUGAUAAAUCGAAAAAAAAAGAAUUAAAUACAGAAAUUAUAUUAUUUUUCGGGAGUGGGGCAGGGUCAAUACACAGUGAGUCAUUGAACAUUGGUUAUGUACGAAACGGCAUACAUUUUAUUUUUGAUAUCAUACAUUUUCAUAUUAAAUACACAAACACUUUUAAUAGAACCCUCGUAAUUUCCUUUGUCCGUGUAAAAAUUCCCAAGUCUUCACUUGAAGUAAAUGAUAUCUGGUUAGGAAGUAUAUUUUGAUUUGAGAGUUGUGUUCCCCAUUAUAAAAACGAUACCAAGUUGGGAUUAUGGGAAUGACCUUGGAAUUGGCAUAAACAAGGAUCAGUCGGUUCAAUUUUCUUGAACAAUCCGGCUGUCUGUAUAUAAAUAGACAAGAACACUCAAAUAUGGGGAUAUCAGUUAAGAAAUCAGUUAAAAUAUCAGGCAACGGUAGGAGAACAUUGACCGUCAAGUUCUAUUAAACUACAAUCCCGAGUACAAUCCAUUAUUUCAUCAAAAUCUUCGAUAUAAUUGUGAAUGGAAAUGGAGAAUGUCAAAAUUUUCUAAUAUUGAAUUAUGGUCUUCGCAAACUAAUUCCAAGACAACGUUUCCAUAUGCAGUGAAUUCAACACCACUCGGUCGAAAUUCGACAAUCGCACAGUUCCAAUUUGUGCCAGGGAAAACCGUGGAGAAAGAAAAUUUAACCGUUAUGAAAAAGAAAAACUUGACACCAAAUACUCCAACACCUGUUAUGACAACGAUUAAUUGACAAAUAGGAACGUUUGGAGAAUAUAUAAAAAAUGCAUACGUAUCUAAAAAAAAAAGAUGAAUAUAAAAAGAGAGAGAAAACAAAUACACAUUGUUGCCUUUGUUUGUCUUUUAUGAUUUUAAUUUUAGUUCAUUUAUAUAUUUUGGAGUUUAUAGGUAUGACGUCUAUUUUCACUGAACUGGUAUACAUUUUUAUUUGGAGACCAGAUGAAUUCUGAUGUUAUCGCUGUGUUGAUGACCAUUUAGUGGGCUUCGGCUGUUUUCUGCUAUAUUGUUGGGUUGUUGUCUCUUUGACACAUUCUCUAUGUUUAUUCACAAUUUUUAUUGCAUGAUAUACCUUAUGACCCGACCCCACACACACCGGCAAAACUGAUACUGAAAAUUAUUUUACAAAUUAAGUUUCUGACUUGUAAAAAUGAAUUUCUUUUGUUUUUCAGGAAAGGUAUGGGUCCUGUAUCUGAACCAGAGUCGCAGGACGCCUAAAGUGAAAAGGACAGAAAGGACUUCAAGUCAAGUAAAGUGAGUAUCAAUAACGAUACAGUAACACCGUUUGGAACCUACGAGAUUAUUAUUUUUAGCUUUACUCGGUUUAAAGCUUUUGUGUAUUAACAUAGCCAUCGCUCCUCAUUUUUGCUUUCGAACGUUCACAUUGAUGCUACACGGAAAUUAAUUCGUAUAAAAGUCGGUUAGUGACCUGUUCGGUUGUCAAGGGCAUGUAAACGAAUUAAAUGCAUUAUAAUAUAUUUAGUCAUUACACAGAUAUUUUAAGAAAGUAGGUCAUUGUCCGCAAAAACCACAUUACUUGACAUAUAAACGUUAAAUGUGUACCUAAUCACCACGAUCGUAGAUUGAUCAAUGAAUCUACGUCAUAAAGAGCGGGAGUUAUGUACUUUCGGUCAUUGACUCCACACAGGCGAUCGAUCAGAAAAUUAAUCAUGAUUCUUAUCCAUAGUCAUGUUAAUAAUAAAACGAAUAGCUCUGAAAUGACUGAAAUGACUGUAAUUCAACUCUAAUGAACGAGUAUCAUGAAAAGUAUUGCUAUCAAAAUCAGACAUAUUAUCUGGGACUAUUAUAUAGACAGUAUCAUGAUCUAUCAUAUGUCUUAUUAUAACUGAACAUUUGUAGAUCUUUGUAGAGACAUAUAUACACAUAUAUAUAUAUAUAUAUUAUAUAGCUAUAUAUGACUUUAAUGAGAAAAGAAACUGAUACUUUUCUUUGUCCUGUUUCACAAAGAGAUUAAAUUCAGUUAACAUUCUGCGAUGCAGCAGUGCAUGCAUUAUUGACUUAUUUCAGUAUUAUCCAAGAUACGGAAAAAGCAUUUAUGAAAAAGUUGCUUGUUUCUGGAUGUAACUCUUUUUACAAUCUCAGUUAUAUAUAUGAAAUACCUUUUGUAUUUAAUAGAUAAUGUUCAAACUUUGGUUCUUAUUUAUCCCACAGGCCCUGUAAAUGUAGUUUCUAUACACAAAAAUCGGAAAUUUUACUAAAUCAAUUUGUCUUAUAUAAUUUAUUACAGAAGCGUUUCAAACUGGCGUAGAACAUGGUCCUUAGAAGCCAGAUAUAAUAGCUUAAACUGUAUAUAACUGGUGUAGAACGUGGUCCUUACAAGCCAGAUCCCAAAGCUAAAACUGCUAACUAACUGGCGUAGUACAUGGUCCUGAGAAGACAUACACAAGAGCUAAAACUGCAACAUACUGGCGUAGAAUAUGGUCCUUUGAAGUCGGAUACAAGAACUAAGUCUCACGUCUAGACCAAGGAUCAUGAAGUGUACACUGUGUUAAUGAGACAAAGAAAAUUGUUACCAAGAUAACAAUUUCUUUAAUAUCACCAGGGUCAAUUUAAUUUAUCAUAGAAAAUGCAUAAUAGAUUUUGUAUCAAAGUUGAAAACGUGUUUUACCACCGUGAAUUUUAAUCAAGAUGUGCCAUACUUGUAUUAUCGAUUGCUUUGAUUACUAUGUGCCAUAUAUACUUAUUUUAAGAUUUAACUCUAUAUGAUAUUGUGAUAUUGUAUGCAUACAUUUGUAUGUAAGUGUGUCAGUUCCUACAAUUCAGCUAAACAACAACUAACAACUUUUAUAAAAAAAAAAUGAUUCUUCUUCAUUGUACCUCUGUCAAUAAAGACAUCGUAUAUAUAUAAAGGCAGGUCCAGCUCUGGUGUUUCAAAUUGGAAUAUAUUAUUUUACAUUUUUGUCACUGAAGGGAAUACAAUUUUGUUUUUAUCACUGUAGCUGAUCCUGCCUGCAUAGUCAUGUAUUCCUUGAACUAUUACUGAUACUAUGUAUCUAUAAUAUUAUAAUUGCUUUCGGGUUUGAACAGUUUCAAUCUAAUGUAGUAUGAUUGUUUAGGUCAGGCUUAUCCAUAGAAUGUCUAAUCAAUGUUAGCCCGAUCUGUCUUCUAAACACUAGUCUGGUUUUCAGUGUUAUUUGGUCUUUAAGUAUCAGUCUUCCUUGUUACAUAAAUCGUUACUUCCAUGGUCCAAACUGUUAUGAUAUGGUCAUAUUUAUAUAUUAACUGUUUACAAACUAGACAACCUGCACCUUAUAAAUUGAAAACUGUUCAAACCUGAACAUACCUUAACAUUUAAACAAUAAGAAGCCAGUAAAACACAGUAGAAAGGCUUUAAAAGUUAUUACUGUUGUUUCAGAUUGUAAACAAGAGAGAGGGAGAGAGAGCAAGACAUUUUAUGUUAUAAGCUGUUUAUUUUUAUGAUGAUGAGAGUAUGUGAGUAUUUAUGCAAAUGCAUGAUUGAAGUUUGUGCAUCAGAGUAUUAAGACAUUGUCUGUUAGAUUGAAUGUGUCUGUUUGUCUUGAACUAAUGAUCAUUUAUAUGAAAUGCAAGGUAGUGAAGUUGUUAUUGUACUGUUAAGGCUCACUUCUUAAGUGAACCAGUAUGUAUGAGAGAGGUAUAGAUGCACUUUAAACCAGCACAAUAAAGUACUAAGAGGUUGACAGAAGAGUAUUGUGAUAUGUAACAUUUAUACAGCAUAAUAACAUUGAUAUGUCUCCCGGUGAAGUGAUACAUUUUUGUAGUAUCACUCUGUAUUAAGCUUAUUGCUAUAGUUGAAGUGUUGCUUGUGUGUGUUUGUGUUGCAACAUUGGUUGCUUGAAAUUGUUUUGCUCAGGGCGAAUGUGGAUGCAAAAGCAUUUAAAACACAUUUGAGGAUGAAUUUAUCCCGGUGAAGUUCAUCACAAGUAAUAUAUGUUUUUAUGUUUAUUCUUUAUUUUCAUCAUAUAUAUCAUGAAUUAAGAUAACAUUGUUUAUCUUUUUGGGUGUCGAUUUAAAAAAAUACAACUGACUAACAUUAUGGAUUUCAUAAGUAAAACCUAAAAGUUAUUAUUUUAAAUCUAGUGAGUAGUAUUAGUUGUUGAAUAUUCUUGGAUACAUUUUAAAAUGUUGUGAAAAUUUGAAAUAAAAUUGAAGGCAGUACUAAAAUGGAAAAGAGGAUAUGUGCAUUUUCUUUAAAUUAAUCAAGGAAGUUUAGAAUUAAGAAAAUACCACCAAAUAUGUUAUAUAUAUAUUCAAGAACGUCCAUUCAUAUUUACCAAGUCACUCCAUGAAAAAAUCUAUAUCCAUGAAUUGGCACCUAAAUCCUCUGUUCAAAAGUAAGUGUUCUUAAUACUUCUAUAAAUCAGCUAAUUAGUUAGUGGAUAAACAUAGCAACUUUUGAGCAGCUGAGAUAAGGUCAAAUUUUAUAGAUAUGUUUUUGCUUCAUGGUAAGGGUAACAUUGAUGUUUUUUGUAUUCAUGUAGUUAGUACCACAUUUAAUCUAAGAUGUCAGCACUGCUGCUUAUCUUAAUUUGGUUAACGGUUAUAAGCACCUUGUAGCUUUCUUGCUUCUUGUGUAUACUUGCUGUUCCAAAUUGUUCUGUGACCAAAUUUCUAAACAGUUUAGGAUUUUUCUUAUGAACAAUGUUUUAAAUUUGUUUCAGAGGUCUUAGUUUUAAUAACAGUUAAGAUACUUAGACUUAGAUAAGUUUGUGGUAUUUAACUAUUUAUUAAUAAUUUCGGAUCAAAAUGAAACUUGUGUUUCUAAUACUUAAAUAAUUUCAUUUUUGAUUAGAAACAUUGAAUUAAUGUAAUUGUAAUAUGAAUACCGAUAGUACUAAAUCUGGCAUAAUUUGGUGCAUUAUUUUACAGAUUAUAGUGUCAAGUUAAAAUAAAUAUGUUUCAAUAAUAACAUAUAACAUAAUUUUAAUUAAAGUUGCAUUGAUUUUAGUUUUUCAUGUUUUUAUUGAUAAACUGCUCUGAUGCCACAGAUGCAGUUAUUUAUCUCUUCAAAGCAUUUUUUUAUAACAAGAGUGUACAGACAAUAAAAUAUCUUGUCUACUUAACUUAAGAUUAAAAGGAUAUACAAACCUUUCCAGACAGACAUGUUAACAUUACAAUCAUUCCAUACAUCAAAUAUAAUGGUCCUAUUAUUUAUAGUACCCGGAAAAUAGACCUUACGACAAAAACCUAACAACAACCCAUAAGAUAUGAAAAAGGUCAAGAAAAUAUCAAACUUGCCAGACAGACAUGUACACUUAAGAAUCAUUGUUUACACCAAUAAGUGUCCCUAUUGCUUGCUUAAAAAUAAUCCAAAAUUUCCUGGACAAAUGAACAUAUAAUCAAUAGUAAAUUUUGUACGCCAGAUGUGCAUUUUGUCCACAAAGACAUGUCAGUGACGCUAAAAAAGAGUGCCAUUUUUUUAGUAGUUUGUACAGAAUUUCAGUACAGUUAAAAGAAAUGAAUCAUUUUGGUAGUGAUUCAAACUGUAAAUAUGUCAGUGAUAUUAAAUUAAGUUGAAGGUAUGAUGUGGUGCUUGUUGGCCCAUGUAAAUAGGCGGGAAAUAAAAUAAUUGAUGAUACAGUUACUUGUUUAACUUGGUAAAUUUAGACCUUUAUGAAAAUGACAUUCAACUUUUUCUUGAAGACAGAAUUUGAUUGUAUUGCGAUUGAAGUGACAUCAUGAUGGUGAUUUACCCAGAGCAAUUCGAUUAACAUCUGAACAGAAAGCUUCGUUAUCUUUUUUCAGUUAGUCCAUCAAGAAAUGAAAGAAAGUUUUAAAGAACAAUAUGCAUUCUAUUUUGCCUUAUACAUUCCCCUCAACGAAACUGCAUACUUAUUUAGCUUUGUUGACGUAUCAUGUAUAGAUUCUGGGGAAAAAGCCUAAUCCAGAAAUUUUAACCUGAAAAUUGAGAUGAGGGAUUAUGAAAAAUUACAAAGAGAAUUACAUUCCUCACAAUCAAACCACAAACUAAGUUUAAUAAUAGUGUCUAUGAGGUAUUCUGAUACAUUCCAGACAACUAAACCACAUAUUUUUACUUACAAAAUAAAAUUUGAUCCUGGUAUCUAUGAUGAGUUCAUUUACAACCACUGGGUUGAUGCAACUGCUGGUGGAGUUUUAAUUCCCUGAGGGUAUCACCAGCCCAGAAGUCAGCAAUUAUCAUUGAUACGGUCAUAUUUAUAUAACAACUGUUAACAAAACUUUUGAAAUUUUGAAAUACCUCAGGAAUAAAUUACAUUAGCUGUAUUUUGUCAAAUUGUUAGGAAUUUUGGUGUUCAAUGCUGUUCAAAUUCGUACUUUAU